UACGGGGGGUGCAAGCGUUAAUCGGAAUUACUGGGCGUAAAGAGCUCGUAGGUGGCUAUUUAAGUUGGAUGUGAAAGCCCAGGGCUUAACCUUGGAAUUGCAUUCAAAACUGAGUAGCUCGAGUAAGGGAGAGGAGAGUGGAAUUUCCAGUGUAGCGGUGAAAUGCAUAGAUAUUGGAAGGAACACCAGUGGCGAAGGCGACUCUCUGGCCUAUUACUGACACUGAGGAGCGAAAGCGUGGGGAGCAAACAGG
rnacentral:rRNA from 1 species